GCGCCUGUAGCUCAGUGGAUUAGAGAACUGGUCUUCGGAACCAGGUGUCGGGGGUUCGAAUCCCUCCAGGCGCGCCA
rnacentral:tRNA from 1 species